AGCCUUUAUAAGCGGCGGCAGCGGUUCUUCUCGCCCUUUCUCCUCGUGCGCCCGGUGGCGGUGGGGUCUUGUGUGGAAGGCGCUCGGCAGGGCUGAGGUGAGGGCUCCCACCCUCGGGCAGCGGUGAUGCACGCCGUUCCUCCUCGCCCCCCAGGGGCUACAGGCGGCAGUUGAGGGAUGUAAAGGCAACUGGGUCUCGCUCAUCCCGUCCCCGCAGGCCCUCAUGGAGGCGGAUGGGGGCCCAGGGCCCCGCUCGGAGUGCUCUGGCAGCUGCGCCGCGGUCCGAACUGAGAACCUGGGAUUUCCAGGUGAUGUGAUACAAUAAGGAUUGGGAGCAGGCAUCUCUGGAGAUGGCCGUAAUGUGAAGCCCUUCACAUGGCCCUGGGACAGAAGUGAGACUGCAAGAGCAAGAGUUUGAAGAGUUUGUUGUGGGUGUUGAUGCUGAAAGCACGUUUGUUUGAGGAAAAAGGAACCCAAUGGAACAUGAGUGAGCUUGGCAGCUGAUCUUUGAAAACACCACCUGUUUUUCUGUGCAUGAACUUUUAAGAUAAAACAAUGUUCGUACUGUUUUGAUACACAUUAAAGUUGUAAAACAAAAACCAAA